rnacentral:hammerhead_ribozyme from 1 species
GCACUGCUGAAGAGUUCAACAAUAGAACGAAACAGCUGUUCAGUGU